GGGUCCAUACCUCAGAUCUUAGAGCACUGGUCUUGUAAACCAGGGGUUGAGAGUUCAAAUCUCACUGGAGCCU
rnacentral:tRNA from 1 species